rnacentral:rRNA from 1 species
AUUGAACGCUGGCGGCAGGCCUAACACAUGCAAGUCGAACGCGUGGCUGACGGGUGAGUAAUGUCUGGGAAACUGCCUUAUGGAGGGUGAUACCUACUGGAAACGUUAGCUAAUACCGCAUACCAUCAGAUGUUCCCAGAUGGGAUUAGCUUGUUGGUGGGGUAACGGCUCACCAAGGAGACGAUGCCUAGCUGGUCUGAGAGGAUGACCAGCAACACGGGAACUGAGACACGGUCCAGACUCCUACGGGAGGCAGCAGUGGGGAAUAUUGCACAAUGGGCGCAAGCCUGAUGCAGCCAUGCCGCGUGUAUGAAGAAGGCCUUCGGGUUGUAAAGUACUUUCAGCGGGGAGGCGUUACCCGCAGAAGAAGCACCGGCUAACUCCGUGCCAGCAGCCGCGGUAAUUC